UCCAGACAGUUCACUCUGCCACCCCCAUGAAUCAUCCUGUUCCGGCCUAAGACUAUCACAUGAGAACAAUGAUAUGCUAGUAGUGAGGUUUGAAGAGUUGGAGGUUAAGGAGGCAAUUUGGGAUUAUGGGAGCACUAAAAGUCCAACACCAGAUGGAUACAAUUUCAAAUUCAUAAAGACCUUUUGGACCUCACUAAAUGGAGAUAUCGUGCGCUUUGUGGAAGGGUUCCAUAGAUUCAGCUUAUUUGGCCUAUGACUCAGUGUCUUGGUCUUCUCUUAUCGACAUGUUUCAUAGGUUGGGGCUUUUGCAAAACAUGGAUAAAAUGGAUUGUAGGGCAUCUAUCUUCUAGCUUAGUUACAAUUUAACCAAGUAAGCAAAUCGAGAGGUCAUUCCACCCUUUGUCCUCGAAUAUGGCCAGCAAGCGAUCCCAGUUCGCGGCAGAGAACAAGACAGCAAGUGAGCGUACAUUUGCUCACUUCUUCUCCAUCACGACGCUGGAGUCUGGAGAUACAACAUACAAGGUGUAGUGAGUGAGGUUGGGUGGCAAUAAUAUAUGUAUCUUUUUUGCUAAAUUUUAAGAGAGACUAGAGUCUCCAAGUUCUAUUUUAUUAUUUAGCCCUAUUGUUGUUAGGUAUUCAAACAAGGGAGCACAUUCAAUUUUUUCAUGUUUGUAAUAUUUUAGG